GCACAUUAAUAACUAGUAUUUUUUUUUACUUUUUCGCAGUCUAGUUUGAGGAUCACGGCGUUAGGGAAUCUCAGAGGGCCCCCUGUGGCCGAGGCCCCUUCGGCGCUCCGUUGCUCGUCUAGAAUCCGGCUGUGUUGUUUGCCCUUCUGGUGUAAAACUUCCAAAGACCUUAAAAUCUUGCGUUUGUUGUUGGGGUGGAGUCUCCGGGCCAUUUCGGGGUCGAGAAGUUUCAGUUUUUUGUGCAAUUCCUCGCUGGGUAAUUCAUGGUCGAGAUAUCGAGAUGGGGGCGCUUUUACAUGGUCUCCGGGUUCUUCAAUUAAAAUUUUCCACAAGAGGGACUCUAUAUAAUAAUUAGUUCCACCAACGAUGAUGGGAAUUUUUGGGGGGCAAAAACAGGGCAUUCUUGGUUUUAUGGGCUGAUUCAUUUAAUCAAUUUUCAAAUGCUUCAUGAAUAAAACACAGGAAAUAGACGCAACAGCUGAAAUCUUUCAGCCUUGAUUGUAAUAGAGUCCACGUGCCCACGUGGAAAUGGAAGUGACGAAAUAACUAAGCGUGUUAAAAUUUCCUAAAUACGAAGGAUACAAUUUUCAAAGCGCUAUUUCGGUACUCCACUACGGUGAAACUCUCAUGGGGCUCCAGAAUAUCAAUAAGAUGGUGUAGGGCCACACUUUGUUCUUCUUUCGUAGCUUUCGCUGUUAUAAUAUCGAGACCUUUGUACACCUACAUGAUUUUUUUUCGAUUAAUUAACAAGACGUUGAACUUGAACUGUGUAAACAUUUUCAGACAUUCAAUAAAGUCAUAAUUUAAGCGAUGA